rnacentral:rRNA from 1 species
ACAUCCAGCGAACUUGGCAGAGAUGCCUUGGUGCCUUCGGGAACGCUGAGACAGGUGCUGCAUGGCUGUCGUCAGCUCGUGUUGUGAAAUGUUCGGGUUAAGUCCCGNAACGAGCGCAACCCUUAUCCUUUGUUGCCAGCGAUUCGGUCGGGAACUCAAAGGAGACUGCCGGUGAUAAACCGGAGGAAGGUGGGGAUGACGCCAAGUCAUCAUGGCCCUUACGAGUAGGGCUACACACGUGCUACAAUGGCGCAUACAAAGAGAAGCGACCUCGCGAGAGCAAGCGGACCUCAUAAAGUGCGUCGUAGUCCGGAUCGGAGUCUGCAACUCGACUCCGUGAAGUCGGAAUCGCUAGUAAUCGUGGAUCAGAAUGCCACGGUGAAUACGUUCCCGGGCCUUGUACACACCGCCCGUCACACCAUGGGAGUGGGUUGCAAAAGAAGUAGGUAGCUUAACCUUCGGGAGGGCGCUUACCACUUUGUGAUUCAUGACUGGGGUGAAGUCGUAACAAGGUAGGCGUAGCGAG